rnacentral:rRNA from 1 species
AACGAAUGCUGGCGGCAUGCCUAACACAUGCAAGUCGAACGAGAUCUUCGGGUCUAGUGGCGCACGGGUGCGUAACGCGUGGGAAUCUGCCCUUUGGUUCGGAAUAACAGUUGGAAACGACUGCUAAUACCGGAUGAUGACGAAAGUCCAAAGAUUUAUCGCCAGAGGAUGAGUCCGCGUAGGAUUAGCUAGUUGGGGUGGUAAAGGCGAACCAAGGCGACGAUCCUUGGCUGGUCUGAGAGGAUGAACAGCCACACUGGGCCUGAGACACGGCCCAGACUCCUACGGGAGGCAGCAGUGGGGAAUAUUGGACAAAGGGCGAAAGCCUGAUCCAGCAAUGCCGCGUGAGUGAUGAAGGCCUUAGGGUUGUAAAGCUCUUUUACCCGGGAUGAUAAUGACAGUACCGGGAGAAUAAGCUCCGGCUAACUCCGUGCCAGCCGCCGCUGUAA